UACGUAGGGAGCAAGCGUUGUCCGGAAUCAUUGGGCGUAAAGCGCGCGUAGGUGGCCACAUAAGUCCGUUGUGAAAGUCAAAGGCUCAACCUUUGAAAGCCGAUGGAUACUGUGUGGCUAGAGUACGGAAGAGGCGAGUGGAAUUCCUGGUGUAGCGGUGGAAUGCGCAGAUAUCAGGAGGAACACUAAUAGCGAAGGCAGCUCGCUGGGACGUUACUGACACUGAGGCGCGACAGCGUGGGGAGCAAACAGG
rnacentral:rRNA from 1 species